rnacentral:rRNA from 1 species
UACGAAGGGGGCUAGCGUUGUUCGGAUUUACUGGGCGUAAAGGGCGCGUAGGCGGGCGAUUAAGUCAGGGGUGAAAUCCCAAGGCUCAACCUUGGAACUGCCUUUGAUACUGGUUGUCUUGAGUCCGGGAGAGGUGAGUGGAACUGCGAGUGUAGAGGUGAAAUUCGUAGAUAUUCGCAAGAACACCAGUGGCGAAGGCGGCUCACUGGCCCGGAACUGACGCUGAGGCGCGAAAGCGUGGGGAGCAAACAGG